GGGAUAACCUUGCGAAAGUAAGACUAAUACCCAAUGACGUCUCUAGAAGACAUCUGAAAGAGAUUAAAGAUUUAUCGGUGAUGGAUGGGGAUGCGUCUGAUUAGCUUGUUGGCGGGGUAACGGCCCACCAAGGCGACGAUCAGUAGGGGUUCUGAGAGGAAGGUCCCCCACAUUGGAACUGAGACACGGUCCAAACUCCUACGGGAGGCAGCAGUGAGGAAUAUUGGUCAAUGGGCGAGAGCCUGAACCAGCCAAGUAGCGUGCAGGAUGACGGCCCUAUGGGUUGUAAACUGCUUUUAUAAGGGAAUAAAGUGGGUCACGUGUGACUUUUUGCAUGUACCUUAUGAAUAAGGACCGGCUAAUUCCGUGCCAGCAGCCGCGGUAAUACGGAAGGUCCGGGCGUUAUCCGGAUUUAUUGGGUUUAAAGGGAGCGUAGGCCGGAGAUUAAGCGUGUUGUGAAAUGUAGACGCUCAACGUCUGCACUGCAGCGCGAACUGGUUUCCUUGAGUACGCACAAAGUGGGCGGAAUUCGUGGUGUAGCGGUGAAAUGCUUAGAUAUCACGAAGAACUCCGAUUGCGAAGGCAGCUCACUGGAGCGCAACUGACGCUGAAGCUCGAAAGUGCGGGUAUCGAACAGGAUUAGAUACCCUGGUAGUCCGCACGGUAA
rnacentral:rRNA from 1 species